UUUUGUACUGUAGGGGAUUGGCCAGGAAAUUUGAAUUGAAGACAAAUAUCAGAUUACACAGAACUGUAGUGUUGUCUAUCUCAGGUGUGAUGUUGUGGUAGCAUAGAACUUACUCAGACCAGGACAGGGAAAUUUGUUUACUAGAACUGCAAGCACGUUCAUAUUACAAUGAAUAACCACAUGACACUAUACUUCAGUUUCAGGGAACAUACCAAAAUUAAGAUAGUCAUGCUAUUGAUGUCACAGUCCAACAUAUCAUAGCCAGAGCAACACUGGAGCAGCCCCGAUGGGUUGCACGGUCUUCAGCUGUUGCUUUUUAUGAGGUUACUUUUCAGCUGAAAAUACCUGUGAUUAGUUCUCCUGCUUCUCUUCGUAGCAGAGUAUGAUCUUUGUGUGCACACGAGAGGGCCUAAUCCGGCAGCACAAAGUACCUACUAUUUUGGUGGCCAGAAACUCGGAUUUUACUUUCACUCAUUGGUUGCACCGGAGAGGGGACCUGGACCUCCGGGUUGCAACGCGUCAGCUGUGAACCGUUUCCUGGUGCUGCAUGAAAGUACUGGAGUUUCAGCAGCAUAGUAACAAGCCGAUGCCAGCACCAGAGCCCUGACUGGAGGCUGGGAGUUUGUCAGGGGUGGAGGGUGCUGUAAAUGCACCACACACCCCAAAACCCACGUUGCUGCCGCUCCAACCCGCUGGGAGGGAGACAGCGCGCCUGCGCCACACAGUUGCCCCGGUAAUGGUUGCCAAGCAGCAGCGGCGGCGGCGGCAGCGGCAGUGGACAUGGCGGCCAACGAGUCGGACUUCCUGGAGAGGGUGGGUGAACUUCAGCGGCAGUUGCACGCCAGUGAACGUAAACGGCUGGAGCUUGAAAAGAACCUUUUGGUAUGCAGCAAGGCAGAUCAGUGGAAGCUAAGACAUGCCCAAUUGAAAAGUUAUUUGAAAGAAGUGCGUGAAAGGGAGAGAAAAGCCCAACUUCGCAACCAACAGCUGCUCAAAGAUUUCGGGAGUAUUGAAGCACAGAUCUCAGCAUUAACUACAAGUUUAGAUACAUGGAAACAAAUGAAGAUGGAAUAUGAAAAACAGAUGGAAAUAUUACUUCCAGUUUGGAGGGAGAAAUUAAAAACUCAAGGGAGGGAAAAGGAAGAAAUCUUGGAACAGAAAAGAAAUUCAUCAGGUCAAACCAGCACGACUGUCAGCAAAAACCUGUCAGUGGGAUUAUAUCACACUGCCACUCACUUCAUGGGCCAGCAAACUUCAGAGACCACAGAUAGAACAUGUUCAAGUCCACAACAAAACCAUUACCAACCCAUGGAGAGCUUUUUAUCUCCUCAGCCGAACAGACAGGUGGCACCGGUGACAGCAAAGCAGAGUAAUUCAGUGAUGGACAACUUGAAGUUACUCACAUCAAGCACAGGAAGGCAAGACUUCCAAACUGUUUCUGACAUAAUUGACGGGAAGACAGGGCUUCCAGGCAGUGAAGUAAUGCCACUCAUUCCCAUCAUCUCUUCUAAACCAGCAAGAUGUAACAAUGAAGGGACAGAAAUUAAUAAGAAUAUUAUAGGAAAAGGUUCAGUUGGCAGUUCAGAAUUAGCUUUAUCUGUGGCUCAGUUAGAGCCCAUUAAGAAAGAAAUGAAAGAAGGCACAGUGCAGAAUGAUGUUAAGAAUCACCUGACAGUUGAAGAUAAAAUUCCUAACAAUCCUGCUGCAUGUGUACAGACCCCUGAGCAGUUUCAGAGAUUGUCCAUGGAUCCAGUCCAACUCGCUGGCAGUUCUGACAUGACCCUGAAGGGAAACAGCAUUUUUCAAUUAAGUAAUACUUUCUUUGAUUCAACAUUGACCCAGGAUCUGAAUAAGGAUGCAACAAAAGCACAGAGACCAAGCCAAGAUGUGCAGAGGCUUGCAGAUGAAGUAUACAAUUCUGAAAGUGACAUCAGUAGUUCUGGUAGCAGUGAAGAAUUGCAGCUGAAGGAAUAUCUCGAUGACACUUAUAACUUCAUUCAAUCUCCUAAAACAGCUGUAAGUGAUGAUCUGGAAAAGACCAAUGAGGCACCUUUUACCAAAGAUGAAAGCACUUCAGUUUCAAUAAAGCAACACAGUGUGCCUUCCUUAACUCAGCCAUCAGUAUCAGACUGUGGCAGUUCUGCAAAUGCUGAUCUUCACGGAGAACUAUGUGGGUCCGCAGCACAGUCUCUGAAUGAUGAAGGGUGCCUUUUAUUUGAAGGAUUUUGUCACUUACUUCAGUCAAUAGAAGAUGCUGUUGGGGGAACAAAGACUACCUAUUCAGAGCUGUAUCAGACUACUGCAAUAAGUAGUGAAAAACUGAAGGAAAUCACAAGGAUCUGCAAUAGGAAAGGCAGUUUGAACAAGGAAAGCCUAGAAGCCUGUGGAGCAGUAGUUCUUCACCAUUUUAAGACAUUAUUAAGGAGUACUUCAAAUCCCUGUUUGUUUUCUGAUGAGAUUUUGAAGAAGGACUGGGAAACACUUAAUGAAGUUAAUGAAAGCUUGUCAAAUUUACCUGGUGAUUCUGCCACACUCUGGAAGCAUUGGUAUUCACAUGUUCUUUCUUUGUUGGAGCAUCAAGCACUGAGUACAGAUGAGAUAGCAGAGAUAUUUGGACCUUUAUUUGUUGCAGAGGACAGUAACUCAAAAAAGGCAAUAGCAUUAUUGAAGAAAAUCCUUUCAAAAGCAAUUGAAACCCAGUCUAUUCAAAGUGAUGACUCAUCAUGCAGUUUAUCAUCUAUUCUCAAUAACAGUGCAGAAAUUAAUGCAACAAAUCCUGUACCCUGGCUUUUUCAGGAUAAAACAAAACAGCAAGAAACAAGAGCAUAUAAACUUUUGAAACAAUCGGCAAUGCAACAGAAUAGGAAGGACGAUUCAGACUUGCAUUCACCAGAUAAAAAGAACCUGAAAUACACCAAAAAGAUGAAAAACGAUAAUGAUGGUGAUAAUUGUGAAACUGACUCGAGUGAGGAAAGUUCACAUUUAAAUUUCAAAAUUACAGAAAAGGAAAAGGGCCCGAAGCAAAAGUUUGGGCACCCUGCAUGUUAUCCCUAAGAUUUCUGUGAAUAAUGGAGACAAUUUAAUGCUACUUGGUGCCAAUUGAAGGGUGCAGAAACAAACAUGAGGGAAUUAAUCCAGCAAAAUCUAAAGCUUUUUGGGGUGAAUCUGAUGACAGUGCAACUGAUAUUGAAGCAAUUCUUCACCCAAAAACUUCAGAAGUGCAAAAUGAUGAAGAUGACUUUGAU